UUAAAAAACACUUCAAGAGUACAUUUGUUUUUGUUACUACCAAUUGUCGUUUUAUUGUUCCAACCCUAUUUCCUUCAAAUAUUUGACCGUUACUUCAUUUCAACGUCUCUCCACAUUCCCUUCUCUCUGAUCAAAGCUUCACCAAUUUCCCACUCUCCUUCUUCAGAUAACAGAUUUGUGAAGAUUUAUAGAAGUGAGUUCUUUGAUUUUCAUUUCAAAUGCUAA